rnacentral:rRNA from 1 species
UUCUUUAAAAUUAAAAAAUUUGGCGGUAUUUUAGUCUUUUCAGAGGAACCUGUUUUUUAAUUGAUGGUCCACGAUUAUAUUUACUUUUGUUUUUAAUUUAUAUAUCAUCGUUUAUAAAAAUUUUAUGAGAUAAUUUUUUCAGAUCAAGGUGUAGUUUAUAUAAAAGUUAAAAUGGGUUACAUUGAUAAUUGAUAAUAAAUUGGAUUUGAAAGUAAGCUCUAGAAUAUGUACAUAUCGCCCGUCGCUUUCGUUAUAAAAUGAAAUAAGUCGUAACAAAGUAGAUUUAUUGGAAAAUGAAUCUAGAAUGCAAAAAGAAGCUAAUUUAGCAUUUUAUUUACAUUAAAAAAUUGAUUUUAUAAUCCUUUUUGAUAAGAAUAUAUUUAUUUUUUUUUUGGUUUUUGGUUUUUUUAUAAAAUUAUUUUUUUUUUAUUAAAUUUUUGAAAUAAUGUAAUGAUAGUAUAUUUAGUACUGUGAAGGGUUAUUUUUUUUAUUUAAAAGAAGAUUUUAUUUAUUGUACCUUGUGUAUCAGGGUUGUUUAAUUUGUCUCGAUUUUUAAGGAGUUAUUUUAUUGUUUUAUAGAUAUUUAUAAAAAUAUAAUAGUAAUGAAAUGUUAUUCGUCUUGGAUUGUAUCUAGUUGCUUAAGAAAUUAAUUUAAUUAAAAAGGAAUUAAUUAAUUUAUUUUGGGAUAAGCUUGUAAUUAAAUUUUUAUAAAUUUAUUGUUUUAUAUUGUUUAUAGGAUUAGAAAUUUUUAUUGGUUUUAGUAUGUUAUUAUUAAUUUAAAUUUUUUAUUAGGCUGUAUUGUUAAUUUUAUUAUUUUAUUAAUAAUGGAUUAAUUAGUAAGAUUAUAAUAAGGAAUUCGGCAAACUUAAUUUUCACCUGUUUAUUAAAAACAUGUCCUUUAGAUUAUGAUUUAAGGUCGGGCCUGCCCAAUGAUUUAAUGGCCGCAGUAUAUUGACUGUGCAAAGGUAGCAUGAUCAUUAGUUUCUUAAUUGGAAGCUUGUAUGAAUGGUUUAAUGAGAAAUUAACUGUCUCUAGAAUUUUAUUUUUGAGUGAAAAAGCUUAAAUAAUAAUAAAAGACGAGAAGACCCUAUAGAGUUUUUUUGUUGGGGUGAUGGAAAAAUUUAGUUAACUUUUUUAUUUUAUGGG